GACCUUUAAAGGAAGGGAAGCCGU
rnacentral:piRNA from 1 species